UACGAGGGGGGCAAGCGUUGUUCGGAAUUAUUGGGCGUAAAGGGUGCGUAGGUGGUUCGGCAAGUCUUGUGUGAAAUCUUCAGGCUCAACUUGAAGUCUGCACAAGAAACUGCCGGGCUUGAGUAUGGGAGAGGUGAGUGGAAUUCCCGGUGUAGAGGUGAAAUUCGUAGAUAUUCGGAAGAACACCAGUGGCGAAGGCGACUUACUGGACACAUAUUGACGCUGAGGUGCGAAAGCGUGGGGAGCAAACAGG
rnacentral:rRNA from 1 species